GUUUAUGACCACAGCAUCCUGAGCAUGCCUGAUCUCUGAUCUGAUCUUGGACACUGAGCAGGGUCGAGACUGGUUGAUGCUUGGAUGAGAGACUGCCUGGGAGUACAGGGUUGUGUAAGCU
ensembl:rRNA 5S_rRNA 5S ribosomal RNA